UAUAGGGGGGCCCUGUGUGUGUGUGUGUGUGUGUGUGUGUUGUUCAUCCCCUCCCCCCCCCGGUGAACUUUAAGUUGGAGGAUGCUCUGCAGGUAAGUGCCGUGUUGUGUUGUGCUGGGGGCUGUGCCGUGGGAUGCCCCGACACCCGUGACACUGGUGGGGGAGAAGCUGUGUUCUAACUUGCCGUGAAGAGGCUGAGGCCCUUCCUGGGGGCGUGAGGGGCUUCGGGGAAAGCCCGUGUGCUCAGCAGCACUUCGGGUGUCUGCUCUGCCAGCCCCCGCUGCCCCAUCGCUGGGGGAUCGCUGUAGUGCUUGAGCGUGGUUUGGGCCUGUGUGGGGUGACUUCUAUCCGAGCGUGGAGCCGUGGGAUGUGUUUGCUCAGCGUGUUCCCUGCGUGGAAGCGUUCCAUUGCUCUCACUUUCAGUUUUGAGGUAGGAAAGCAGAGCCCUGCUGCGAUCGGUUCAGAUCCAUUGUUUUGAUGAGCUUCCGGCCGGGCCUGACCACAAAUAACGCUGCUGAAGUCACGGGGCUGCUGGCGCUAUGGAGUGUUUGGGUCAGGUGCCCUGGCUGGCUGCGCUCAGGCCCUUCCAGCAGUAGCUCUGUCAGGAUACGUGUGCAGAAGUGGAGGAGAGCCAUGUGAACACAGGAUGGGGAUGGGAUGUUGUUCAUGAUCUAACUGGAGCUUUGGGAUAAAGGUGUUUGAAGAACUGGUUGUAAAAGGAGAGAGGUGGGUAGGAAGGGAGGACUGGGGUGAGCUUGGAGGUAAUUCCUCAAUUCCUAUUGGCAGUAUGAGCCUCCUUGGCUGAGCAAAGGGGCACAAGGGCCAGCUGUGUUGCCUGUGAAAUGUUUCUGUUUUAAAUAUAUGUGAAGCCUUGAAGGCUGUGGAAUCGUUAAGAUUGGAAAAGACCGUUAAAAUCAUGUAGUCCAAUCAUCAACCUGUAGUCCAACCAUCAACCCAUCUUCAUUCUUAGGAGGGUUUGCAGUAGGAGAGCAUCCUCUGAAAGCACAACAAGUGGAGGAACUGCUCUGCAGAGGAGGAGCAGGCACAGGGCGUGAGUAUAUAGCCAAAUAUUGAGUGCUUUUAGACCUCGGCUGUCUCCCAUGCUGAUAUUCCCCAGCCUUGGCAUAUCUCAGAGUCCUUUCAAGCAGAAAUAGCUUUAAUUUAUUUAACGACAAAAGCUGAUCAUGUUAUAGCGCAGAUGUGUCACUUUACUGGCUUUAUAAGAUUUUGUGGUGCAAUGUCUUAGAGAAAGCCAUUCUUCCAAAAAUGGGAUUUGCAACAGCUUGUUUUCUUCUCAUGUCUGGAGCUGUGCCGGCCUGUGUUCUAUGGCAGAAGUCUGCAGGACGAGGUUGCUUUACUCACAGGUGUAUCUAUUUUGUUGUACCCAUUUCAGAACGUGGUAAGAAGUUGACUGGGGAGUGGUGGGAGAACUAGAAGAACAAAGUGCCCUGCUCAGCAUUGGGACGCAGGAUGCCCAUCUGCAUGUGCGGGCUUUGUUGCUGUGUUGGGCCUGAAAGGCUCUUUCAUGUCAGCAGCUCGUGCUGGGCUGUGUGGAGCUGGUGCAUUUGCUCUGGUUUUGUUUCAUGGGAAGAGUUAGCAGCGAAGGCCUCUUUUUAGAGAUAACCUAUAUUUUCUUUUUCUCCCUAAUCCAGCAUUUUCAGGGCUAGUCAACUGUCAAGUUUAGUUGUGCGUAAAUCCUCUAAUAUGAUUAGAGUUGCUGGAAUUUUCACUCCGAGGAAUUAGAGGUGGGUAGUAUCGCUGCUUUACAGGCAUUUCUUUAGUGGGAAGCUGCAUCUGUGACUGGAUGUCUGCUUGUAAUUGCACAGGCUUUUCUGGUGUGAAUGAGCAGGAGGGUGUUUGCUGCAGGGCUUGAGGUGCCGUGCUCUGGGCAAGCUCAGGAGCUUAUUUUCCCAUUCUGAAAGCUGGUGUGACUUCUCAGUGUUCCAUGUUUGCACUUGGAGGUACUUCCAAGAGCUUCUUGUAGGCACAGUUUUCCUUUCUGGGCUGUGGACUUGGUUUUGCCUCCCAAAUAGGAAAUGAUGUGGGGCAGCUGGGAAGAGAAAACAGGAUGCGUUCUUAAAAAAUAAAGUCAAAUAAAGUAAAGGAUGAAAGGGAGGAGAACAGAAGGAGCGUUUAGGCCAGUGAUGUUCUCAGGUACGUGUUAUCCCUGUGCUGUGUUUUGUGACUCGGGGAGGUGUCCUGGAGCAUGCUCUCUCCUCAUAGCAGGUGAUGGCACACUGUUGCUGAUGGGACUUGAGUCAAAUUGCUGCCAGGCACGUAACUGGGUUAAUGGGGCAGCGCUUUUUUAUUUCGUGAAAGGAAAAUUACAUGUUCUCUAUUGUUAAAAGUUGUUUUUAUGUCCGCUUUGCUCUUCAGUCAUCUGAGAUGGCCAGAAAUGGGCUGCUUUCCUACACAGAGCAAGGCCCCAAGGCUUCCCUAGGUUAUACCAGAUCUAAGUCAACCCCACCACGAAAGUAAUGCGUGUCUGCUGUUGGUUGUAAUGUCUCUUUGUGUCCUUUAUCUGGGUGGGAGUUGAUGUAUUUCUAGAGCUCUAAACAAGCCUGAGGAAAAGCAAAGUGACUUCUAAACUGCAUGUCUCGACAGAGGAACACAUCUUUGAUCCUUGCCCGGUGCCAGGAGCGUCCUUUGAAACCAUUGGGGAAGUGUCGAAGAGCAGCAAGAAGAGCUCACACAGCUGAACAACUGAAAUAAUGCAAAUAUUCCUGGGCUGUAAAGCCUUUGCGGGGUGGAAGCUGCUACAAGUUGCGCUGGUUCUCUAUCAGGUUGCCAAAUAAUGAUUCCCUAUUUGUUUUUGUUUCGCUUUGAUUUACACCCGAGAGUGACCAUGUGUGAGUUACUGAAUUACCAGGAGCUUGAUUUAAAUGCCUGCGCUCCUGGUGGCUUUUGAGAAUCUAUUAGAACUUGUGCUACGGCUGUGCUAAUAGCAGCCUGAAAAAGAUUGCUCUCCUUUACUCAUUAUUAUGAAGUCAGAGAAGUUGCUGUUUCUUGAGAAUGGUGUUUUUCUGGGCUUGUUUUGGCCUCUUAAUGGAAAGGAAAACUGAGGGAAGUCACAUGUAUGGUGAGCUUCAGUUUGUGGCAUCUCUCCUUCCCAGUGCUGACACAGAUACAAGUACCAGUUACUGAAUGGUCUGUCUUCAAAUGCUUUAUUCUGAGCUCUGUGUUUUGGAUUCUGGAGCUGUAAAAUGCAAAUAAUUCGCCUGUCAACCUGGCUUCAACUCAGGCUGCGUGUUUCCUUCAGUGGAAGUGUUUUAAGGUAGAUUUCCAAGUGCUUUUAUGUCUCCUUUUGCAAAGAAAAAAGAUGCAGGUUUUGUCGAUACGCAGAUAUCGCCAAGGGGAAUCCUGCGGGGUGCUCUGUGAGCUUCAGCUGCUCCACGUCCAGUGCACAACUGAACUGCUUCAUUUCUAAGUGUUUAGUUCUGAGUUUGCACGCUCAGUUUGGCUGUGCAGGAUUCCUGUCCUGGAUCCAGCUGUGCUGCAGGGCAGUGGCACCUGGUGCUGCAGGCCUAUCAGAAACGAUUGCUGCUGCCAGUUGGCACUAUCCCCAUCUCUUUGCUGAAGCCAAAGUGUGCUUUAUCAACUCAGGCUGAUGUUAAGAUCAAUAAAGAAAUGAAUUAAUUGUGCCGUCACCAAAUUCUGAUCCUGGCAGACUAAAAACAUGUGAAUUUUAUGGUGGAGACCUCUGUCCAGAAUGUCUUAUUGAAUGUCGGUAGGGGGAAUAGUCAGCAAAAGCUUUCUAGUGAAGUGUGUGUGUCUUAAUGAGGGUUCUGGUGAGGAGAGGUGCAGGAGCUUCUAUUACUGGGCUGUGGGUCUUUGGAGAUGGGUGUUAGUCAGCCUGGGGAGCUCCUAUGGAAGAAUGCAGAGCUCUGCUGACAGCGUAGGGCUGCCUCCCUCUGUGCUGGGAUGUGCUGAAAGCAGGGAUGGCUCUUUGUCUCUGCAAUGGAGCUGGCAUUGUCAUGGCUGAGCCAAAAUGCCCCGAGGUCACUUGGGAGCAGCUUGGGGCAGCCUGCUGAGCUCUGCUUCCAGGAGAAGGCUGAAGUGCUUCCUGAGAGGAGGAGCUUGGGCUGCUCUUCCUUAAGAUCUAGCUCCAUUCUUAGCUUGAUGUGCUUUUCUUGAUGAAUAGAGGACAUCAGAGUUCUGUCAUGCUUGAUGAGGGUAGGUCACAAAUGUUCCUGCAUUGCACAGGGAGAAGCAGAAGUGUGGUUUGAUGGAGUGAUGUGUCAUAUAACUGUCCUGCUCAUACCACAGCUCCAGGGUCUGCCAUUGGGGUGUGGGACCUCUGAACAUCUGCAGCUGUGGGGUGGGAGAAGCAGUGCCAGGGCUGCUGCGUGCUGGAGCUUCUGGAAGGUGCUGGGAUGCCUUUAGAGCUUGCUGCUGGAGGGAGGAGCGAUGUGUGGCUGCCUGGCUCCUCUCUGCUCUGCACCACAGGCAGCCUGGGGUGUUUGCUUCGGUCCCCUCCUGUUCUAAAGCAUCCAACACAAAGCUCAGUGCUACCAGAUGGAAGCAAACCAUUUUCUUCCUUUCCUCCCUGCACCUGAGUGUUUGUCUUGAUGUCUCCUGCAUACAGAGAGGUCUGAGCAGGCAGAAGGUAUGGAUGGGUCCUGAGCUUCCUUCCAUGGGGUGGCAUAUCAUGUCCAUACAUCUUCGUGUGUGAAGAAGUGGAUGUUCAGAGCAUUGGAUCACAGAGGCCUGGACCUCCUGUCCAGCUGGAAAUAAAGAUUCUGAAGGGGAAUGGCGAGGUAUUAGGAAACUGGGAGCUGAAGUGCCCGUUCCUUCUCACAAGUUCUUGGGAGGACAGUCAGUCUGGGUGACAACACUGCUGUCACCGUGAUGGUUCCUGACAGACUGACCAGCAGGGUGUUAUGUUUUCAUGUGAAGUUGCAGUGUGAAGUAUUAGAGAUGUGGUAGGAAGCACAGCCUGGUGAGUGGGGCACACCAUGAGGCUGGUGAGUCCCGAUGGCUGUCCCUGUAGAGCAGAGAGGUGUGUCUGUGUGGUGGCCUUGGCAGCUGGAGCAGCUGAUCUGCGUUUGUAUGGCACGAGGAGGGCAGUGGGUGGGCUGGGAGCAGUUCUGUGUGAAUGAAAUGUCUAGGAGGGUAAAAAUGAAAUCUGGGCUUGGAGGUGAAAAUCACUGAGCGUUGCUGCAGUGCUGGAGUCUGGCUUGGAAGCUUCCUUUCCCUUCUUAUCUUGUAACGACGUGCCCCAGAUGCAGGUCAUUGCUAUACUGGAGGGGAGCUGGAGAUGGAUGGCUUCACUUGGUGAGUUUUGUGCUGGGAAGGCAGAUAUAGCAGCACUGAAGGUUGUGGUGGGCUGUGAGCUGGUGGGCUGAAACUGAGGUGGUGGGGCUUUUGGUUUUGUUUCUUUCUGGGGUAUCUAAUAAUCUCCCACUGGAAAAGCACAAUGUUGUAUCUUUCGAUCAAGCUUGGUAUUGCCCUUAGUGCCCCAGUCCCUGCCCUGCUUUGCUUUGGGAUGAGCAGGGCCUGCUGCUCUGUGCUUCUCGCCUGGCUCUCACCUGGCCCUCUGCUUUCUCUGCUUGAACUCCAGUGUUCUCAGCUAACUGUGUGUCUGCAGGAAGAACUCAGUAUAGAAGUAACUCAGUGUGCAUUAAGUAACUGUUCUGAAGAAGGAAAAAAAAAAAAAAAAAAAAAAAAAAAAAAAAAAAAAAAGGCAAAACAUGGAGUGAACAAUCCCAACCUGUUGUUGCUGGCUGCGGUGGUAGUGCUGUCCUGGGGGACAUCAUGCCAUCUCCCUGCUCAGCCCAUCCCUAAAUACAGCUGAGCGGUUACCAAACACUUGGUAGCCAGAGGCUGGUCUAGAAGGGCCUUGGAGAGGAAAGCAAUGCUAAGAUAGCUCUCUCUUCCAGGCAAUGUAUUUAUUGAUUUAUUUUUCUUUUUUCCUUCUGUUGUAGCCAAUUGCAAAAGUAAAUGCCGUUAGCAGGAUGCAGAGGACCUUCUCUUGCUGCACCAAGCUGAGAAAUGCCUCGUGCCGGCUGGUGGUUUCUUGCCUCCCAGCCUGGUUCGUUUUUAGAUGCCCAAGGGCAUUUUGAGACUGUUGCAACUUCAUUUUACAUUGUGUUUAUAUGAAACAGACCAAAAAAAAAAAAAAAAAAA